rnacentral:rRNA from 1 species
GGGUCAGUAGGUUGGUCGUGCCACCGGUACGUACUGGUCUCACUGAUUCCUCCUUCCUGAAGAACCGUAAUGCCAUUAAUAUGGUGUUGCGGGGAAACAGGACUGUCACUUUGAAAAAAUUAGAGUGUUUAAAGCAGGCUAACGCUUGAAUACAUUAGCAUGGAAUAAUGAAAUAGGACGAUCGAUCCUAUUUUGUUGGUUUCUAGGAUUGACGUA